rnacentral:lncRNA from 1 species
CUGUGCUAGUUGUUUCGGGGCCUCUGAUAUUUACGCAAAUUCCAGACAAACACUGUUUAGAAGUGCUGAAACCCUGAAUCUGUGGUAGUAGGCAUAACGAGCAGGAAGACUUUGAUCCUGAAUAGCUGCUGGAGAUUGUCCACCAGAGAUCUGUUGUUUACAGCAUUACUUGUUCAGGAUUUCCUUUUAAGAUGUUUCCCCUUUGGAAAUUCCUAGCUCUUGCUGCCUCAGAUAAAACCUUCCAGGGAAAAAGCUAAGAAAAUGGUG